UAGGGAAUCUUCCGCAAUGGACGAAAGUCUGACGGAGCAACGCCGCGUGAGCGAAGAAGGCCUUCGGGUCGUAAAGCUCUGUUGUUAGGGAAGAACAAGUACGAGAGUAACUGCUCGUACCUUGACGGUACCUAACCAGAAAGCCACGGCUAACUACGUGCCAGCAGCCGCGGUAAUACGUAGGUGGCAAGCGUUGUCCGGAAUCAUUGGGCGUAAAGCGCGCGCAGGCGGUCCUUUAAGUCUGAUGUGAAAGCCCACGGCUCAACCGUGGUGGGUCAUUGGAAACUGGGGGACUUGAGUGCAGAAGAGGAGAGUGGAAUUCCACGUGUAGCGGUGAAAUGCGUAGAGAUGUGGAGGAACACCAGUGGCGAAGGCGACUCUCUGGUCUGUAACUGACGCUGAGGCGCGAAAGCGUGGGGAGCAAACAGGAUUAGAUACCCUGGUAGUCCACGCCGUAAACGAUGAGUGCUAAGUGUUAGAGGGUUUCCGCCCUUUAGUG
rnacentral:rRNA from 1 species